GACGAACGCUGGCGGCGUGCUUAACACAUGCAAGUCGAACGAAGUGGCGAACGGGUGAGUAACGCGUAAUCAACAUGCCCUUCAGAGGGGGACAACAGUUGGAAACGACGGCUAAUACCGCAUACUGAAGGAGGGGAAUCCGUCUGCUUGGCUAGUUGGAGGGGUAACGGCCCACAAGGGCGAGGAUCAGAGGCCGGUCGGAGAGGAGGAACGGCCACAUUGGGACUGAGACACGGCCCAGACUCCUACGGGAGGCAGCAGUGGGGAAUCUUCCGCAAUGGACGAAAGGCUGACGGAGCAAAGCCGCGUGAGUGAUGACGGCCUUCGGGUUGUAAAGCUCCGUUAAUCGGGACGCGGUACCGGAAUAGAAAGCCACGGCUAACUACGUGCCAGCAGCCGCGGUAAUAC
rnacentral:rRNA from 1 species